rnacentral:rRNA from 1 species
UACGUAGGGUGCAAGCGUUGUCCGGAAUUAUUGGGCGUAAAGAGCUCGUAGGCGGUCUGUCGCGUCUGCUGUGAAAACUCAGGGCUUAACCCUGAGCUUGCAGUGGGUACGGGCAGACUAGAGUGCGGUAGGGGAGACUGGAAUUCCUGGUGUAGCGGUGAAAUGCGCAGAUAUCAGGAGGAACACCGGUGGCGAAGGCGGGGUCUCUGG